rnacentral:rRNA from 1 species
UGCCAGACUCCUACGGGAGGCAGCAGUGAGGAAUAUUGGUCAAUGGCCGGAAGGCUGAACCAGCCAAGUCGCGUGAGGGAAUAAGGCCCUAUGGGUCGUAAACCUCUUUUGUCAGGGAGCAAAGGCGUCCACGAGUGGACGAAAGGAGAGUACCUGAAGAAAAAGCAUCGGCUAACUCCGUGCCAGCAGCCGCGGUAAUACGGAGGAUGCGAGCGUUAUCCGGAUUUAUUGGGUUUAAAGGGUGCGUAGGCGGAGUGUCAAGUCAGCGGUAAAAAUGCGGUGCUCAACGCCGUCGAGCCGUUGAAACUGGCGUUCUUGAGUGGGCGAGAAGUAUGCGGAAUGCGUGGUGUAGCGGUGAAAUGCAUAGAUAUCACGCAGAACUCCGAUUGCGAAGGCAGCAUACCGGCGCCCUACUGACGCUGAGGCACGAAAGCGUGGGUAUCGAACAGGAUUAGAUACCCGUGUA